UGUGGUGAGAUGGUGUUAAACCAUCACCACUGUGUGCAGCAGGUGUUGCUCAGAGCACAGCCCUGAUUGAUGGGCGUGGCAGACUGCUAUAUAUUUGGGCAGUUUGCUGUUCCUUGACUGAGAUUCUGUUGUUCCUGCUGUGUGUGUGGCAGGUGGUCACAAAACCUGCUCAUCUGUCACUGUUUUGCUGGCUGCAGCCAGGAUUGUUUGCAGCAUAUGGCUUCCUCCUGCUGCUGUUCUGUUGGACCUCUGUCCUCUGGAGUCUGCGCUUCUGAUUCCUGGCUUGUGCUCUGCACUACCGUGCGUAAUGCUUUGACAUGCAGUGAAAGCUCUGAUGCGCCGGGACGCUCUGCUGUCUUGUCUUGUCGUUCCUGUUUGGAUUUUAUUGCAGUGAUCAGCCUGCUUCACCACUGCUGCUACUGCUGAUCCAACAGCUAAAGGACUGAACAG